rnacentral:rRNA from 1 species
UACAGAGGUCUCAAGCGUUGUUCGGAUUCAUUGGGCGUAAAGGGUGCGUAGGUGGCGCUGUAAGUCGGGUGUGAAAUUUCGGGAGCUUAACUCCGAAACUGCAUUCGAUACUGCGGUGCUUGAGGACUGGAGAGGAGACGUGGAAUUCAUGGUGUAGCAGUGAAAUGCGUAGAGAUCAAUGAGGAAGACCAGUGGCGAAGGCGGGUCUC